UGCUACCUUCCUACCUCGACUAACAUGUCUCCAUAAACAUCUGGAAAGUCAAUUUAAACUUACCAUUGUCUUCAUCCGAAUUCUACCCCAGAUAAUGAAGGCAUGUGGAUUAUGGACCCUGGCCUAUGAGACUGCGAUGAGAAUAGUGAUGAUUUCUGUUUGCUGAAUUGCUGUCCGUAAUCUUUGUGAUUGGGAAGAGGACAUUGGAAUGAGGCAAAUAUUAAACUGAGCAAACACAGAUCAACACAUCUACAUAAAGAAGGCAAUCAACUAGCAUACUAUUGAAAGGCAGAAAUGUGAAGAUUGGCACUUGCUAUCUAUAUGGGUACUGCAGACAUUUCAAAAGGCUACCUUCCUCUUUCAUCGCUGUCCCAAAAUGUGUUGACUGCCUGUAUGGUCUCAUCAAGUGGCCUAAUCUAAAUGAGGCUCUACUUCCUCAGGUCAAAGUGUUGACAUUUUUGAACUAGUUCAAAAGGGUCAUGUUAAAUAAUAAUAAUCAUACCAAAUUGAGCAUGGAUAUAUAUAAAUUAUGUCUACAUUAUUGAAUAUAUUUUCCUGAAUAUAGUACAGACCGUAACAAGCACUUACUAUAAUGUAAUUAUUUAUUUCUCAAUGAGAUAGUACUGGAAUUAAACAAAAAAGGGUAGAACAAAGUUUUGAGGCACUAAUAUGGAGAAAAGAGAG
rnacentral:lncRNA from 1 species